rnacentral:misc_RNA from 1 species
UACUUUACAUCCUGAUUUAGCAUUUAGAGAUUCUAAUAUUGGUAGAUCUUUUAUUCCUUGAAUCUCCAUGCUUUUUAACUUCUUGCUUACUUAAUUUAGUGUCUGUAGCAGACAUGUAAUUUCUCUUUAAUGGACAACUUUAGUACUCCUUGAUGCUGUUUUUGAUCUGCAUUUUUCAUCAGCAUAUAUGAAAUACUGCUCAAUGCUUCAAGAUAUUAAGUUUCCAGAAAUUUUUGA